GGCAUGGAUUAGGCAUGCAAGUCGAACGCUCAUCUUCGGAUGGGAGUGGCGGAAGGGUGAGGAACGCGUGAGUAAUCUGCCCCCAAGUUGGGAAUAACAGUUGGAAACGACUGCUAAAACCGAAUGUGGCUGAAAGGACGCAUGUUUUUUCGGCUAAAGAUUUAUCGCUUGGGGAUGAGCUCGCGUCCCAUUAGCUAGUUGGUGAGGUAACGGCUCACCAAGGCGACGAUGGGUAGCUGGUCUGAGAGGAUGGUCAGCCACACUGGGACUGAGACACUGCCCAGACUCCUACGGGAGGCUGCAGUCGAGAAUUUUGGGCAAUGCGCGAAAGCGUGACCCAGCAAUGCCGCGUGCGGGAUGAAGGUCUUCGGAUUGUAAACCGCUGUCACCCGGGACGAAAAAAAUGACGGUACCGGGGGAGGAAGCCACGGCUAACUACGUGCCAGCAGCCGCGGUAAUACGUAGGUGGCGAGCGUUGUUCGGAAUUAUUGGGCGUAAAGGGUCCGCAGGAGGUUCGUUAAAAUUGGGGUGAAAUCCCGGAGCUCAACUCCGGAACUGCCCUGAUGACUGACGGACUAGAGUGCUGGAGGGGUAAGCGGAAUUUCAGGUGUAGCGGUGGAAUGCGUAGAUAUCUGAAAGAACACCGAUGGCGAAGGCAGCUUACUGGACAGCAACUGACUCUCAGGGACGAAAGCGUGGGGAGCAAACAGGAUUAGAUACCCUGGUAGUCCACGCCGUAAACGUUGUCAACUUGAUGUGGGGGGAUUUAGUCCUCUCCGUAUCGAAGCUAACGCGAUAAGUUGACCGCCUGGGGACUACGGCCGCAAGGCUAAAACUCAAAGGAAUUGACGGGGGCUCACACAAGCGGUGGA
rnacentral:rRNA from 1 species